CUUGACAUCCACGGAAGUUUCCAGAGAUGGAUUGGUGCCUUCGGGAACUGUGAGACAGGUGCUGCAUGGCUGUCGUCAGCUCGUGUUGUGAAAUGUUGGGUUAAGUCCCGCAACGAGCGCAACCCUUAUCCUUUGUUGCCAGCGGUCCGGCCGGGAACUCAAAGGAGACUGCCAGUGAUAAACUGGAGGAAGGUGGGGAUGACGUCAAGUCAUCAUGGCCCUUACGACCAGGGCUACACACGUGCUACAAUGGCGCAUACAAAGAGAAGCGACCUCCCGAGAGCAAGCGGACCUCAUAAAGUGCGUCGUAAUCCGGAUUGGAGUCUGCAACUCGACUCCAUGAAAGUCGGAAUCCCU
rnacentral:rRNA from 1 species